AAAUUAAUUCCCCCCCAAUGAGAUGGAGAUAGAUUAUAUAUACACAUACAUACACACAUCCAUACUUAGAUUAUAUAUACACACAUCCAUAUAUAUAUAUAUAUAUAUAUGUAUGUGUGUAUAUAUAAUCUAUCUCCAUCUCAUUGGGGGGGGGGAAUUAAUUU